ensembl:lncRNA novel transcript
GGGCGGUGCUGCUAAGGAUUGAGGUCGAGUGUCAAGCUUGAGCUCUUCAGUCAAUGCUAGAAAUGGACGUUUAGUUAUUGAAUCCCGCUAACGAGGGGAGCCAACAAGAGAGGGAUGUCGGCAUCGGGUGUGCGGUUCCAAGAACUGAUUGGCUGUGGAGAUUAGAAGUUAGGAACCUUUGCAACGGAAAGCGGCCUCGGGCAGGCGCC